UACGUAGGGCGCAAGCGUUAUCCGGAAUUAUUGGGCGUAAAGAGCUCGUAGGCGGUUUGUCGCGUCUGCCGUGAAAGUCCGGGGCUUAACCCCGGGCCUGCAGUGGGUACGGGCAGACUAGAGUGCGGUAGGGGAGACUGGAAUUCCUGGUGUAGCGGUGAAAUGCGCAGAUAUCAGGAGGAACACCGGUGGCGAAGGCGGGUCUCUGGGCCGUAACUGACGCUGAGGAGCGAAAGCGUGGGGAGCGAACAGG
rnacentral:rRNA from 1 species